rnacentral:rRNA from 1 species
AGUAAAAGUCGUAACAAGGUUUCCGUAGGUGAACCUGCGGAAGGAUUAUUAACCUUUCAAAAAACAGGGUGCGUCGCGGCCCCCCUCCGGGGGCGGUUUGGGGUCCUCCCCUUCACGCGCGCACGACUGCAUCCUUACUUUACGAGCACCUUCUGUUCUCCCUCGGCGGGGCAACCUGCCGUUGGAACCGAAUAAACCCUUUUUUGCAUCCAGCAUUACCCGUUCCGAAACAAACAAUCGUUACAACUUUCAACAAUGGAUCUCUUGGCUCUGGCAUCGAUGAAGAACGCAGCGAAGUGCGAUAAGUAGUGUGAAUUGCAGAAUUCAGUGAAUCAUCGAAUCUUUGAACGCACAUUGCGCCCCUUGGUAUUCCGGGGGGCAUGCCUGUUCGAGCGUCAUCUACACCCUCAAGCUCUGCUUGGUGUUGGGCGUCUGUCCCGCCUCAGCGCGCGGACUCGCCCCAAAUCCAUUGGCAGCGGUCCUUGCCUCCUCUCGCGCAGCACAUUGCGCUUCUCGAGGGGCUCCGGCCCGCGUCCAACAAGAAAACAUUACCGUCUUUGACCUCGGAUCAGGUAGGGAUACCCGCUGAACUUAAGCAUAUCAAUAAGCGGAGGA